GGGGAGAUGGCUCAGCGGUUAAGAGCUCUGGCUGCUCUUCCAGAGGACCUGGGUUCAAUUCCCAGCAACCACA
rfam:Cricetulus griseus cell line CHO-K1, whole genome shotgun sequence.